rnacentral:rRNA from 1 species
GAUGAACGCUGGCGGCGUGCUUAACACAUGCAAGUCGAACGGAACUGUUUGAAUGAAGUUUUCGGAUGGAUUUUAAACAGUUUAGUGGCGGACGGGUGAGUAACGCGUGGGUAACCUGCCUCACACUGGGGGAUAACAGUUAGAAAUAGCUGCUAAUACCGCAUAAGCGCACAGCUCCGCAUGGAGCGGUGUGAAAAACUCCGGUGGUGUGAGAUGGACCCGCGUCUGAUUAGCCAGUUGGCGGGGUAACGGCCCACCAAAGCGACGAUCAGUAGCCGGCCUGAGAGGGUGAACGGCCACAUUGGGACUGAGACACGGCCCAAACUCCUACGGGAGGCAGCAGUGGGGAAUAUUGCACAAUGGGGGAAACCCUGAUGCAGCGACGCCGCGUGAGUGAAGAAGUAUUUCGGUAUGUAAAGCUCUAUCAGCAGGGAAGAAAGUGACGGUACCUGAAUAAGAAGCCCCGGCUAACUACGUGCCAGCAGCCGCGGUAAUACGUAGGGGGCAAGCGUUAUCCGGAUUUACUGGGUGUAAAGGGAGUGUAGACGGCGAGGCAAGUCUGAAGUGAAAGCCCGGUGCUCAACGCCGGGACUGCUUUGGAAACUGUUUAGCUAGAGUGCCGGAGAGGUAAGCGGAAUUCCUAGUGUAGCGGUGAAAUGCGUAGAUAUUAGGAAGAACACCAGUGGCGAAGGCGGCUUACUGGACGGUAACUGACGUUGAGGCUCGAAAGCGUGGGGAGCAAACAGG